rnacentral:rRNA from 1 species
GACGAACGCUGGCGGCGUGCUUAACACAUGCAAGUCGAACGGAAAGGCCCUGCUUUUGUGGGGUGCUCGAGUGGCGAACGGGUGAGUAACACGUGAGUAACCUGCCCUUGACUUUGGGAUAACUUCAGGAAACUGGGGCUAAUACCGGAUAGGAGCUCCUGCUGCAUGGUGGGGGUUGGAAAGUUUCGGCGGUUGGGGAUGGACUCGCGGCUUAUCAGCUUGUUGGUGGGGUAGUGGCUUACCAAGGCUUUGACGGGUAGCCGGCCUGAGAGGGUGACCGGCCACAUUGGGACUGGGAUACGGCCCAGACGCCUACGGGAGGCAGCAGUGGAGAAUAUUGCACAAUGGGCGGAAGCCGGAUGCAGGAACGCCGCGUGCGGGAUGACGGCCUUCGGGUUGUAAACCGCUUUCGCCUGUGACGAAGCGUGAGUGACGGUAAUGGGUAAGAAGCACCGGCUAACUACGUG